UACAGAGGUCUCAAGCGUUGUUCGGAUUCAUUGGGCGUAAAGGGUGCGUAGGCGGUGAGGUAAGUUGGAUGUGAAAUCCCAAGGCUUAACCUUGGAAGUGCAUCCAAAACUGCCUUGCUAGAGGACUGGAAGGGAGACUGGAAUUCUCGGUGUAGCGGUGAAAUGCGUAGAUAUCGAGAGGAACACCUGUGGCGAAGGCGGGUCUCUGGACAGUUCCUGACGCUGAGGCACGAAAGCCAGGGGAGCAAACGGG
rnacentral:rRNA from 1 species